rnacentral:lncRNA from 1 species
GUGGAGCAAACAAGAAAUCCACUAUCUCCCUCUCUAAGGAAUAGAAGAAUGGAACAAAAGACGGGAAAAAGAAAAAAGAAUUGACACUGCUCUACCAGCCAGGUCUUAGAGAGGAACCAGCACACUCCCAGUCUGGCCCAGUGAGCUGCUUUGGACAGGCAUUUCAAAAGGAAAGAAAGAAGAGAUUCAAGAUGCCAACAUCUUCAACUCCUUUACAGGGUCUCUGUUUGAUAUUCGCUCCCUGACCUUCAUUCCUUGCGUAAAAGCUCCCCAUUCCCAUGAUUUAAUGCACAUGCCAAAACAAGCUGCCAAUUACACUAGUCUUAAUGCAAGGUGGCUCCAAAGACACUGUCUGCCAGCAGAAUCUGGCCCUCUGUAGCAAAGAGGUUGCUGUGCAAACUCAGAGAUGAGCAGUAUUGCCUGACUUAUGACGUCUCAGCCAUUUCAUCCAUCUUGCUCCCUCACUCCAGAGCAGAAGCACACCUUUGCAAGUCACACGUCUCUGCAGCAAGGUCCACACACAUGCCAGUUGUUGGGAUUCAGUUCCUGUGGCUUUUAAGAAGGAUCACAGACUGGAAAAAUCACUAGGCUGUGAACAGUUUGUACCCCUCUGCUAAUGAGAGCUUAUGAAGGAACUAUUUAUUUCCCCUUCACUGAGAGGCCCUGGCAAAGCUAUGGAAGGUGACUUCAGGCAAGACAUGGAGCAUGGCUUUUUGACCCCGGAUACACUGCAUCCAUCUAGUUCACUGCUCCUCUGAUUCAGACCCAGCUUCAAGCAUUGAGGGAUUUUCCCAAGAAUGUGGAUUUUUUAUGGUUCUGUCAUAUUUUGCGACAAGCCUCCGGGUUGUCUAAGAUCCCCCUGUCAGGUUCCAUUUUUCAGGCUCUUUGUGCAAAAAUGAUACUUAAUGGAGGAGCCUCUCCAGUGUGUGCACAAGCAAGAAGUAAAGAAUAUACAACAUACAAUCCAUAAAUAGAGACGCUUUAGGGGCUUUUUAAACAUUCAUGCUUUUUGCAUAAUUGAUGACUUUCCAUAACAGAUAUGGAUGAUAAACAGCUUUAAAUAAAAUGAAAAUUUAUUGUUGUCGUAUCA